CAUUCCGUGAUGUAGUGGUUAUCACGUCUGCUUUCAACGUAGAAGGUCCCCGGUUCGAUCCCGGGCGAAGUCA
rnacentral:tRNA from 1 species